GGGCCGUUAGCUCAGUGGUAGAGCAGUUGGCUUUUAACCAAUUGGUCGAAGGUUCGAAUCCUUCACGGCCCACCA
rnacentral:tRNA from 1 species